CUGCUGCCUUCCGUAGGAGUCUGGUCCGUGUCUCAGUACCAGUGUGGGGGACCUUCCUCUCAGAACCCCUACGCAUCGUCGCCACGGUGGGCCGUUACCCCGCCGUCUAGCUAAUGCGCCGCAUGCCCAUCCUCUUCCGAUGAAUCUUUCCUCGAUCUCGGAUGCCCGAAACCGAUAUACGCGGGAUUAGCCUCCCUUUCGGAAGGUUGUCCCCCUGAAGAGGGCAGGUUGCAUACGCGUUACUCACCCGUGCGCCGGUCGCCGGA
rnacentral:rRNA from 1 species